GCUGGCGGCAGGCCUAACACAUGCAAGUCGAGCGGAAACGAGUUAACUGACCCUUCGGGUGACGUUAACGGCGUCGAGCGGCGGACGGGUGAGUAAUGCCUGGGAAAUUGCCCUGAUGUGGGGGAUAACCAUUGGAAACGAUGGCUAAUACCGCAUAAUGCCUUCGGGCCAAAGAGGGGGGGACCUUCGGGCCUCUCGCGUCAGGAUAUGCCCCAGGUGGGAUUAGCUAGUUGGUGAGGUAAUGGCUCACCAAGGCGACGAUCCCUAGCUGGUCUGAGAGGAUGAUUAGCCACACUGGAACUGAGACACGGUCCAGACUCCUACGGGAGGCAGCAGUGGGGAAUAUUGCACAAUGGGCGCAAGCCUGAUGCAGCCAUGCCGCGUGUGUGAAGAAGGCCUUCGGGUUGUAAAGCACUUUCAGCAGUGAGGAAGGCGGGUACGUUAAUAGCGUGCUCGUUUGACGUUAGCUGCAGAAGAAGCACCGGCUAACUCCGUG
rnacentral:rRNA from 1 species